GUUAAUUCAGGGUGAAGCCUGCGCUGAUCUCCUGGGUGGAAGAAGGAGCCCUUGGGAGGCUGCAGAGAGGUGUGUUUGGAGUGUGCAGACCUACUCUUCAGAAUUCCACCUUUCUACAAUUUAGUUUUGGAAAAGGAACUCCAAACAGCUGUGAGAUGGAAAGCUGCAACACACGCUGGGUCGUGCGUGAUUCUGUGUUAUGGGCCAC